UGUGUGUGUGUUUAGCUAUACUUGUGAGGACCAACUAUUGAGAAACCACUGUUCUUGUGAGGACAGUUUGGGCUGUGAGGACAUUUUGGGUUGUCCUCAUAUAGGAAAACCUCAAAUC